UCCGGAAUAAAUCUUUUAGACCCGCGACAAAUCUUUUAUUUUUAUAGUAUCAGCUACAAAAGAGACAUUUUUUUCAUAAUGAAUAAACUAGAAGGUGAUAUUAUACUCAAACAUAUACGAAGAAAUAGACGUAAAUAUAUGCCGUCACAUUUUCUCAAGCGAGUAUGGCCAGGCAGACAAGCCAGUGAUGCCAGUCCACACUACUCUGCCAUCAGCUGAUAAGUGAAAUAGGUUCUCACUGCUCUCCACCUCGUUAUUUAUUGAGUUAUUUAACGGUGUCUAAGUGACGUCGCGUGUAUAUCGUCCCAAAUUCGUAAAGUUCGUUAUAUCUGCGUUUCUUCUGCUCUCCAAGAUCAUCGGUUUGAGCUAGAAUAACGUCGAACAUAGGGAACGAAAAAAGCUACUACUGUCACUCGUGUCAUCGUCUGUACAGCGACACAACGAGACCACGCGUCUUGAACUGCGGCCAUAGUCUCUGCUGCGAAUGCAUAACUUACAAGAUUGAAACACAGUGCCUCUCAUGUCGAUUAUGCAGCACAAAGUUCAGGGCAACGAGUGUGACAGACAUCCCAGUCAAUUACAGCUUGGAAAACUGCCUCUCUGCCAUCAAGAAGUUGAGACCUGGCUUGGCCCCGGAGCCACUCAUCACAGAGAAAGACAGUCACUGUGCAGGAGUUAAUCGACUAUCAGAAGCAGAGCACCCAGGAUCUCAUUCUUUCCUCCAAGGACUUAGUGGAGGACCUGACAAAGUACCUCAAUUUCUUGCAUGAGAACAUGAAUAAGCACAAGGAAAUUAGGAGGAUGAUUCAGAGCAGGGCCCAAUUCCACAUGAAAAUAUCCAAAAGAAUGGACUCACAUCAAUAUGAUGUCAUGGAAGCAAAGAAGAAGCUUGAUGCUCUCACUGAAAAAUUGAGUGGUGGUUUACCCAAGCUGGACAACGCUUAUAGCAAUGAUGACGUUGCUGCUGCUAUGAACUGGGUCACUGACACGUACCGUGAACUUGGCAACUGUGUAGACUCAUACCGACCGAAGGGAUUAUCCUAAAAUUGAAAUGAAUCUGUUUCAAAAGGUGGACGGACAACUUUUAAAUCAAAUGUGGAGACAUGGAAGAAGAGGAUAUGGAAGUUGAUUGCAGCAUCCUGGGAUAAUGGACAAAUGAGGGUGGCAUACCUCUGUAAGGAUGAAGACAAAAUCUACUUGAAUUGCUUGUUAGAAAGCUUUUUAUGUUGUGAGAAGUAUGUAAUAAAGGUAAGUUUUUUAACUUUAUUUUCUCUCGAUCUACGGAGUCUCAAGUCCCAUUAGUAAUUACCAAAUUGCAGCCCUCUAGCUGUAAGUUCCAACAACACAGGCCACCAGCGGGCUGUGACUGAAAGUUUCGUGGUUGAGAGUGUGAAGGGACAUUAUACACUUUCAAAAAAAAAAAAUAUUUUGUACUUAUUUCAAUAUAAUGGUCGACGAGAGCUUUGUCAGAAUAAAUAGAGGUGUUUUUUUUUAUCCUUCUUAAAUGAAAGAUUUGAAAGGAAUUCGUCCUUCAGAAAGAAACGCUUUCAAACGAGAAUGAGAAUGAAUGAAUCACUCAGGCAAUAAUAUUCAGCUGUUAUUACCCAUAUUUAAGGACAAAUUGAUUUUGACGCAUUUUUGGGGUUUUGUGUAGGCUCAUGAAUUAAGUGAGAAAAUUAAGACGAGUUGGUUUACAAAGCGUUCUAAGGUGCCAACUUUCUAAUUUGUGUCACGGUAUGAUUAUUGCUUAGUUUAUUUUGCAGAAUCAACAGCCACUGGAUUUGACAGCUCUAACCUUGAUGUUUACCUGGAAAUUAUUUCUGGAACAUAAAAACAUUUGAAACAUCAAAACUACUUCAAUCUUUUUAUUACCCAAGGCAAAAAUUCUCUUCAAGGGCAAAGGUCAGCUGUGCAAGAAUUCUAUUGAAGGGCAAAGGUCAGCUGUAUAAAAAUUCUCUUCAAGGGCAAAGGUCAGCUGUAGAAAAAUUCUCUUCGGGGGCAAAGGUCAGCUGAAGAAAAAUUCUCUUCAAGGGCAAAGGUCAGCUGAAGAAAAAUCAUCUUCAAGGGCAAAGGUCAGCUGUAGAAAAAUUCUCUUCAAGAGCGAAGGUCAGCUGUAGAAAAAUUCUCUUCAAGGGCAAAGGUCAGCUGUAGAAAAAUUCUCUUCAAGGGCAAAGGUCAGCUGAAGACAAAUUAUCUUCAAGGGCAAAGGUCAGCUGUAGAAAAAUCCUCUUCAAGGGCAAAGGUCAGCUGUAGAAAAAUUAUCUUCAAGGGCAAAGGUCAGCUGCAGAAAAAUUCUCUUCAAGGGCUAAGGUCAGCUAUAGAAAAAUUCUCUUCAAGGGCAAAGGUUAGCUGUAGAAAAAUUCUCUUCAAGAGCGAAGGUCAGCUGUAGAAAAAUUCUCUUCAAGGGCAAAGGUCAGCUGUAGAAAAAUUCUCUUCAAGAGCGAAGGUCAGCUGUAGAAAAUGUCUCUUCAAGGGCAAAGGUCAGCUGUAGAAAAAUUCUCUUCAAGGGCAAAGGUCAGUGUUA